AAAGAUGGAGCACAAUUUUUCUAUUUUCUAGUGCUAAGAUCUCAAGAUAAUUACUAUUCAGUUUCAGGAAGUAUAGCUAAAUACACAUUUGUGGCCAGAAAGAUGGCUUAGCUAUUAAGAGCACUUGUUGCUCUUGCAGAGAACCUGGGUUUGGUUCCCAGCAUCCAUAUAGUGUCACACAACUGUCUGUAACUCCAGUUCCAGGGGGAUCCAGUGCCCUCCUCUGAUCUCAAUGGGUACCAGGCACACAUGUAAUGCACAUACAUUCAUGCAUGGGAAACACUCACACAUGUAAAAUAAAACAAAUUUUAAAUAAUUGCACAUUCUUAGACAUGAAGUACAUAAGAACUUAACUCAUCCUAUUUUAUUUACUUUGUGAUUUAGGAAAGUACGUUUGAGGAAAACCCUAUUACAAUGGCCCUAAAAACAGAUAACCGAGUGUGACCCAGACAUGGUUUUCUCAGACAUGCAAUGGUAGUCUUGCCCAUUGGCAGUGUGGCCAUAUUAACAAUAGCAUUGAAAUGUUGACCUACCUUCUCUCUAUAUUGUAUCUAAAGUUGAAUAAUUCUGUCGAUGCACGGCUCUCAUAGGAAAGUGGCUCCUGUCAUGUGACAGAAUCAUGAAAGCUCGAGACAAGAAGGGACAUUAGAAAUUAAUUUCAUCUAACUAUUCUCUUAGUUUUCAGCAUUUUGGAAGGACAAACGGUCAAAUUGUGUUAUUUGUCUUUGAUACCAGCAAUACGGCAUACAUCUACGAUGACAUGAAUAAAUAAAUUGAAAAAUACUAAUGUUCUCUGAAGCAGGAACAAGUACAGGUUAGACAAAGUCCUUGAAGGGACAGAAGAAAAGAACUCAGGGAAGGAGCUUAGGGGUCUUCAAAACAGGACAGAUUUAUGGUCCACAAAAAUGUAUCACGUUUAGGCUAAGCUUAUUGUUAUUAACGGGUUCACUUUGUGUGGCCUUUGGGACGUGGACUGGGUGAGUGGAUACUGUCGUGGGUUUUCUCACUUCUAUACUUCUGUAGUUUUGUGACCAUGAGGCAGGGCCCUGGUGCGCCCUCUUGGACACUCCAGCUCUUGGUAAGCUUUUGUUAGGAUGAGUUGAAAUUUUUGAUAGGUAGGAAACUGGCAAAAAACAAACAAACAAACAAACAGUUAAACAGAAGAGGAUGGACUAGAAAUAAAGAGACAUGGAAAGCUUAUGUAGACCCACGGAUAUAGGUGAACUGUGGCCACCUUUGGGCUUUGGAGUGCUGUGGUGAACAGUGGCAUCUGAAUCGAGUGGUUCCGUCUCUCUGUUAAACCGUCUGCGUCGACUCUACCUGAUAACUCAGUGAUAUUGCUGUGCAUACACUGCUCAUAUGGGGAAGUUUCUUGAGCUGUGAGCCACCUUCGCUUCUGGGACUCUUCUUUGAACCUCCCAGGGUGGAUGAGCUGUGCCUCUUGAUGUUCCAGAGCAUUCUGGUCUCUUGUUAUGUGUUUACCUCAUGCUGCUGUAAUGGCCUAUUUGUUUAUAUUCCCCACUGGUUAAUAUCUUGUUGCUACAGCCAAUAAAUGCUUCCUGAAUGGAUAAAUCAUGCUUCAUCCUUCUUUAGGUUACUCAUAUUGUCUUGAUAAAUAUGGUUGCUUCUCACUUAAAUCACCCUGAAGAUGUCAGGAGGAGCAGAAGGGCAUGGGAGUGAGAAAAAUCAACCAGACAUAUUUCUUUCUUACUUCUCUAAAGCUAUAAGGUAAAAGCCCCUUGGAGUUCUAAAUUAAAGAAGAGAGGUGCUUUCAGAGUGUCCUGACCAGAACUUGCUCUGCCACACUCAGGCUUUCUGACUGCUCUGGCCCUGCGCACAUGCUUGCUUUUCCUCUGUGUCGGUAGCCAACAGGGCAUGUACUUGCUUUGGAAAAGAAGCAAACACUAAGGACAUCUUCCUUUUAAAGGAGUGCUGCGGCUGUUUUGAACAAGAGAAGAUAUCCUCCAUAAUCUUAUC